rnacentral:tRNA from 1 species
AUCUUUAGCUCAAUGGUUAGAGCCCCCGACUCAUAAUCGGUAGGUUAUAGGUUCGAAUCCUAUAAGAUCC